UACGGGGGGGGCAAGCGUUGUUCGGAAUUACUGGGCGUAAAGGGCUCGUAGGCGGCCAACUAAGUCGGACGUGAAAUCCCUCGGCUUAACCGGGGAACUGCGUCCGAAACUGGUUGGCUUGAGUUUGGGAGAGGGAUGCGGAAUUCCAGGUGUAGCGGUGAAAUGCGUAGAUAUCUGGAGGAACACCGGUGGCGAAGGCGGCGCCCUGGACCAAGACUGACGCUGAGGAGCGAAAGCCAGGGGAGCAAACGGG
rnacentral:rRNA from 1 species